UGAAGGAAAGUUAACAGUCAGUAGGGGAGCAGUGAGAGAUGUGAGAUCGGGCUCAAGUGUAGUUUUGAAGGGUCAUUAAUCCAAGUUAAAGAGCCUAGACUUUAUUGCACUCACAAUGAAGAAACAUUAAGGGGAAGAAAAUGGCAACUUGAAAGCAGUGUUUAAGCUGGUUGCCCUGUGCAGGGUAGAAACUUCAACUUAUGACUCUAGUAAGCAAGCUAUUAGAGAAAUGAUAGGCCAAAGACAAAAGUCAGCCUGGGGAACUUGACAUAUAUGUGACUACUGACAAUCAAGUAAUUUUUCAAAGUAAUAGUAUUUCCUAGUCUUGAGCCAACCAAUCACCAGUGAGCCUGUGUUUGUGUUCUUUAUUUUUGCCAGUUUCAUGAGUUUGUGGCUUGUGUUUAGGCUAAAUUAGAGACAGCUGAUGAAACAACUUAGCAUCAUGGAGAGACUUACGCAGAAGAGGACCCUUUUCUUUAAGUUUUAGGGACAUAAUUUUUAAGAAAAAUGUGUUGGUUUCACACCCAAGUGGUCAGAAUCAGCUAUGGAGAAACAAAUAACUGAGUUUUAAAAAACACAUCUGGUGAAAAAGGAUAUGGGUUUUAUAGUCACAGAGAUUUGAGAUUAAAUCUAAAGCCUGGGGCAAGUUAUUAGGACUUAACCUUGCUAAGAAAUUAUUUCCUUAUUGCCACU
rnacentral:lncRNA from 10 species